rnacentral:rRNA from 1 species
UACAGAGGAGCCAAGCGUUGUCCGGAUUGACUGGGCGUAAAGCGCACGCAGGCGGACGCGCGCGUGGGGUGUGAAAUCUGGCCGCUUAACGGCCAGGCGCCAUCCCAUACGGCGCGUCUGGAGGGCUGCAGAGGUCGAUGGAAUUGCCGGUGUAGUGGUGAAAUGCGUAGAGAUCGGCAGGAACACCCAGGGGGAAACCAGUCGACUGGGCAUCUACUGACGCUGAGGUGCGAGAGCGUGGGGAGCGAACCGG